rnacentral:tRNA from 1 species
GCGACUGUGGAAUGGUAGGACACGAGCCCCCCAAGCUCGUGACCCGGGUUCGAAUCCCGGCAGUCGCA